UACAGGGGGUGCAAACGUUGCUCGGAAUCAUUGGGCGUAAAGCGCACGUAGGCGGUUCGUUAUGUCGGAUGUGAAAGCCCUUGGCUUAACCGAGGAAGUGCAUCCGAAACUGGCGAGCUAGAGUACGAAAGAGGAUCGCGGAAUUCCCGGUGUAGAGGUGAAAUUCGUAGAUAUCGGGAGGAACACCGGUGGCGAAGGCGGGCUCUGGGCCGUAACUGACGCUGAGAGCGAAAGCGUGGGGAGCGAACAGG
rnacentral:rRNA from 1 species